AUUGAACGCUGGCGGCAUGCCUUACACAUGCAAGUCGAACGGUAACAGGUCUUCGGAUGCUGACGAGUGGCGAACGGGUGAGUAAUACAUCGGAACGUGCCCAGUCGUGGGGGAUAACGUAGCGAAAGCUACGCUAAUACCGCAUACGAUCUGUGGAUGAAAGCGGGGGACCGUAAGGCCUCGCGCGAUUGGAGCGGCCGAUACCAGAUUACGUAGUUGGUAGGGUAAAGGCCUACCAGGCCGACGAUCGGUAGCUGGUCUGAGAGGACCACCAGCCACGCUGGCACUGUGACACGGUCCAGACGCCUACGGGAGGAUGAAGUGGGGAAUGUUGGACAAUGGGCGCAAGCCUGAUCCAGCAAUCCCGCGUGCAGGAUGAAGGCCUUCGGGUUGUAAACUGCUUUUGUACGGAGCGAAAAGGCUCUCUCUAAUACAGGGGGCUCAUGACGGUACCGUAAGAAUAAGCACCGGCUAACUACGUGCCAGCAGCCGCCGUAA
rnacentral:rRNA from 1 species